UACGGAGGGGGCUAGCGUUGUUCGGAAUUACUGGGCGUAAAGCGCACGUAGGCGGCUUGGUAAGUUAGAGGUGAAAGCCUGGAGCUCAACUCCAGAAUUGCCUUUAAGACUGCCGAGCUAGCAGGUGAGAGAGGUGAUUGGAAUUCCGAGUGUAGAGGUGAAAUUCGUAGAUAUUCGGAAGAACACCAGUGGCGAAGGCGGCUCACUGGCUCAUACUGGACGCUGAGGUGCGAAAGCGUGGGGAGCAAACAGG
rnacentral:rRNA from 1 species